rnacentral:misc_RNA from 1 species
UCAGGGUGGAAGAGCUGG